CCUACGGGGGGCAGCAGUGAGGAAUAUUGGUCAAUGGGCGCGAGCCUGAACCAGCCAAGUCGCGUGAGGGAAGACGGUCCUAUGGAUUGUAAACCUCUUUGGUCGGGGAGCAAAAGACGCCACGCGUGGCGUUCCGAGAGUACCCGAAGAAAAAGCAUCGGCUAACUCCGUGCCAGCAGCCGCGGUAAUACGGAGGAUGCGAGCGUUGUCUGGAUUUAUGGGGUUUAAAGGGUGCGCAGGCGGAAGAUCAAGUCAGCGGUAAAAUUGAGAGGCUCAACCUCUUCGAGCCGUUGAAACUGUUUUUCUUGAGUGAGUGAGAAGUAUGCAGAAUGCGUGGUGUAGCGGUGAAAUGCAUAGAUAUCACGAAGAACUCCGAUUGCGAAGGCAGCAUACCGGCGCUCAACUGACGCUCAUGCACGAAAGUGUGGGUAUCGAACAGGAUUAGAUACCCCUGUAGUC
rnacentral:rRNA from 1 species